GACGAACGCUGGCGGCGUGCUUAACACAUGCAAGUCGAACGUAAAGGCCCUGCUUUUGUGGGGUGCUCGAGUGGCGAACGGGUGAGUAACACGUGAGUAACCUGCCCUUGACUUUGGGAUAACUUCAGGAAACUGGGGCUAAUACCGGAUAGGAGCUCCUGCUGCAGGGUGGGGGUUGGAAAGUUUCGGCGGUUGGGGAUGGACUCGCGGCUGAUCAGCUUGUUGGUGGGGGAGUGGCAUACCAAGGCUUUGACGGGUAGCCGGCCUGAGAGGGUGACCGGCCACAUUGGGACUGAGAGAGGGCCCAGAGUGGAACGGGAGGCAGUGGUGGGGAAUAUGACACAGUGAGAGGGAGCCUGAUGCAGCAACGCCGCGUGCGGGAAGCCGGCCUGCGGGUUGUGAACCGCUUUAGCCUGAGACGAAGCGUGAGUGACGGUAACGGGUAAAGAAGCACCGGCUAACUACGUG
rnacentral:rRNA from 1 species